UGACAGGUAAAAAGCUUUCAAAUCCUCAUUCCCAUGAUUGCAAGAAAUAUGCUGGGCAAUCUGAAAAUCAAUGACUUUUCUUGGAUUCAUUAGAGAACUGAGAUUGUAGGGCAAAUUACCAACCUGAAAUCCGGAGAAACGGCUCACAUUUGUAAAUCGAUGACUUGGAGGGUACCUGCCUAUGUCAACACUUCCCAGUUUUCCAUCCUACCAUGACCUGCAGCAAUGGGAUCAGGUUCACUGGUUUAAGUUGCUCUGCAGCCUGCCCUGUGGUCUGUCAAUUACAGGAAGUACAGGCAAAUCACUUCCAUCUGCUUUAUAUCUGUGUGAAUCAUAAGGACUGCUGGAAGGGCUCAGGAAUCUGGUGCAAAUGAGAAAACCCCAUCCGAGG